CUUGAACGGCCAUUGCGAGGAAAGAAGUAAACAGGUGCGACGGUGGAGGUCCAUUUCUUACAAAUAUUACAGUAUUGCUGUAGAUGGGAAGUCGGAGAAAAAUUAAGCAAGUAGGAUGUGGACUUGAUUUUACAGCUGACACUGUGAUGUACCGUAAACGAAGAGCACUGCAUGAUUGUGAAAGUUUGAAGAAGAAAACAAUGUGCGAAAUUAAUGGUUGACCGAUAUGUAUAGUGGUCUGAAGCUUUGCCAGUGACACCUCAUAAGACUGAGCAAGGAUCCUGUCAUGUGGUCUUCCCUUGAGGAGUCUCCUGUAUUUGAAAUAUUCCUCAGCAACGGGGUCACCGGGUAGAAGGCUCUGUAUUUUCCUGGUCAUGGACUCUGCAUCUGAAGGAAUUUGUAUGGGGCCAGCUUUAUUUGAUUUUGACAAGAAGUUUUCUUCUAAAUGAAAAAAAGUACUUGCAGGUUAAAAGUUACAAUGUUUUCAACACUUGCCUGAUAAUUGAGGAAUUUCGGAGACAGCAACCCCAUCUUUAUCACAAAUUUUGGCCUCCAUAUCUGGACAAGUCUUCAAGCAGCUGCCAAUGUCCUUUUCUCUUGAGUCUGUAGCCUUAUCUGUUUUUCCACCAGCAUGUGCCAUAUCCCCGUUUGGACUUGAAUCUACAUUUCCAGCGCAAUUAUUAUUUGUAUCUGGUUCUUUUUUUUGUUUUAAUUUUUAUUUUACAAAUUCAGAUUAAUGAUAUGUUUUUAGGGCCCCUAGAUGUGCUCUAAAAAAAUCACCCUGUCUGUCUGUACAUCUUUUUCUUGAAAAAGGCUUGUAAAGCUAAAAGCAAUUCACCUGCAUCUAGGUUUUGAUUACAUGUAUUUACAUUUAGCUCUCUUGAACAACCAACUAUAAAGUGUCAUGCAAUGGAUACAAAUACAUUUGUCGUAAUAAUAUUUGAAAUUUUAAACAAGAAAAUUUUAAACAAAAUUAGAAAAAAUGAAGAAAAGCUGAAUAUUAGGCAAGUAAACAUUUGAUUCUAUAUUUUGUGUAAAAUUACUUACGUAGACACUAAGGUUAUCAUCUUUAGAAUAUAGCAACACUUAUGCCAGCUAUUUCUACUUGGCAUUUAGAUUAGUAUAUUAUUCAAAAUCAGAACCAAGUGAAACCACCAC